AAACACUCGAUUGUGGUUGUGGAAGACACAUGCAUGUACAGAUCAAUGCGGUUUUCAAAUGCAUUUAUAUCCGUUAUCCAACCUCGUAUUACUUGAUUAUGAUCAAGCGCCGAUGACAACAGAAAACGUACAAACGUACGACAGGAUCUCGUCGGACAACCGGUAAUAUCCGACGGCUAUUAGAUGGUCCGCCGGAGAUAAGCCGUUUUAUGGUAACGGCGCUCGGCCACCGUUUCACCUCACUGUUUCUCUCCCGUCGUCCACACGUAUAUUCUCUUUUUCCUCUCGCCGUGUGCCACAGUCGUCACCCGCCCAACACCGGUGGCCACACGCCGCCUCCACCUCGCUUGCUCCUUCGGCCGUCCACACACGUGCCCACGCCAUCUCCGCGCGCCCACGCGUUCGCGACCACGCACCCGACACCGAUGCCCAGCCCGACGCCGCCACCCCACCUGACACGCCCGUGGUCGAACGCCGCGGUUCCG
rnacentral:lncRNA from 7 species